UUAUAAAGUAAGCUAAAAUAAGCUAGUGGGUUCAUACCCCAAAUAUGAUCAAAUAUCCUUUAUAAA
rnacentral:tRNA from 1 species